CCCAAACUCACACAGACGUUGGAACUACCAGUUGUGCGGGAAGGAGCUAUCCACUUUGGGUCUCCUCAACGUUGGGACAACCUGUCAAUGGAAAAGAGCUACCCACUUCAGGUCUCCUCAGAGCUGUUCUGUCACUCCAUGAAGCUCCUCUCCACCUUGUUAAUCCUCCAGUUGUCUGCAUACCUCAUUCUUCCUGGACGCAGAACAACAACUCGGGACCCACUGAAUGGUGAUGAGAAGGAGGGAACAGAUGAGAAAAGAGCUGCAACCCUUUGGGGAACCCAGACCUAGAAGCUCCCCUAGCCAGGGUUGUGACACCUUCUUUGUGGCUCUGUGUUUCCUGGCAUCCCAAAGCUUCCAGGCACCACCGUCUUCCUCGGUGCCUGCAGUGGAAGCCGUUUGUAUUAUGCCUGGUCCAGCCACAGCCUUGCAGGGAGCCUGUUCCUGGGCCUGCACCUGGAGCUGUCUGGCCCACCGCAGUCAGCAUGCCUGGCUGUGCGCGGUGGCCAGACCCCAUGCUCGCUCACACACUCCUAGCCGUUUCGUGCCUUGUUCACCGUAGGGAGACGUGGGAUCCAGGCCAGUAGAGCGAACUGAGCACAGCCUGCCGGGCCGAGUGGGCAGAAAGAGCCCAGAAGCCCCAAGCAAAACUCGGGCAAUAGCUCCACUGGCCACAGAGGAUUACAGCUGGAAGAGUGACAUUCUAAGGAUUCUGUGACACCAUUAUGGUUUUAAUUUGCAUUUUCCUGAUGGGUAGUGAUGUUGAAAUUUUUUUAAAUGUUUGUUGGCCAUUUGUAUAUCUUCUUUCGAGAAAUAUCUAUUCAUGUUGUUUGCCCAUAUUUUAACGGGAUUUUUCGUUUUUUUCUUGCUGAUUCGAGUUCCCUGUAGAUUCUGCAUGUUAGUCCUUUAUUAUAUUUAUAGUUUGUAAAUAUUUUCUCCAAUUCUGUAAGUUGACUGUUGAUUAUUUCUUUUGCUGUGUGGGGCCUUUUUAGUGUAAUGAAGUAUUAUGUAUUUAUUUUUCUUUUUGUUGCAUUUGCUUUUGGGAUCUUUGUCAUCCUACUUGAUCGUGGUGGAUAAUCUUUUUAAUGUGCUGUAGAAUUCAAUUUGCAAGUACUUUGUCGAGGAUUUUUUUUGCAUCAAUGUUCGCCAGGGAUAUUGGUCUGUAGUUUUCUUUUUUGUGUGUACUUUUCUGGCUUUGGGAUCAGGAUAACAUUGGCUUGUAGAAUGAGUCAGAGUAUAUUCCCUCCUUCUGGAUAUUCAGAACAGUUUCAAUAAGAUUGGUAAGUGUUUUUGGAAUGUCUGGUAGAAUUCUUCUGUGAAUCAAUCUGGUCCUGGGCUUUUGGUGUUGUUAUUGUGAGGCUUCUAAUUACUUAUUAAAUCUCAUUACUCAU
rnacentral:lncRNA from 10 species